rnacentral:rRNA from 1 species
UACGGGGGGAGCAAGCGUUAAUCGGAAUUACUGGGCGUAAAGCGUGCGUAGGCGGUGAGUUAAGUCUGUCGUGAAAUCCCCGGGCUCAACCUGGGAAUGGCGAUGGAUACUGGCUCGCUAGAGUGUGAUAGAGGAUGGUGGAAUUCCCGGUGUAGCGGUGAAAUGCGUAGAGAUCGGGAGGAACAUCAGUGGCGAAGGCGGCCAUCUGGAUCAACACUGACGCUGAGGCACGAAAGCGUGGGGAGCAAACAGG